AACAGUGUGGCAUAGUGGUUUGAGUGUUGGACUACAACUCUGGAGGCCAGGGUUCAAAUCCCCACUUGGCCA
rnacentral:tRNA from 1 species